CCAAUGUUGAGUUUGCUUUUUUAAGGUCGACGAGUGGCUGGAUAAUUAAUGUUAGAAAAUGGACAUUAUAGAACUAAAAACGUAUUUCGGGUUUCACUUGGUAAGCCUUUUUUGAAGUUUGCUAAAUUGCCGUUUGAUGAUAAGCAACAUUGCAUUUGCACUUGUACAAACGUAUUGCCACGAGCCUUCGUAAUGAAAACUAUUAUAGAAACACGUGACAUAGUACGUUAAAUAUUCUCCAUUCAUUAAUUUUUCAAGUUGAGCAUCUUAAACGUCAACUUUAUCUUAAUAUAUUUAUAUCUUAAAC
rnacentral:lncRNA from 1 species